rnacentral:rRNA from 1 species
CCUUCCUACGGGAGGCAGCAGUGGGGAAUUUUGGACAAUGGGCGCAAGCCUGAUCCAGCCAUGCCGCGUGAGUGAAGAAGGCCUUCGGGUUGUAAAGCUCUUUCGGCCGGGAAGAAAUCGUGUUCUCUAACAUAGGACAUGGAUGACGGUACCGGACUAAGAAGCACCGGCUAACUACGUGCCAGCAGCCGCGGUAAUAAGGGCAGC